UGCCAGCCGCCGCGGUAAUACGGAGGGUGCAAGCGUUAAUCGGAAUUACUGGGCGUAAAGCGCGCGUAGGUGGAUUGGUCAGUCAGAUGUGAAAGCCCCGGGCUCAACCUGGGAACUGCACCUGAUACUGCCAGUCUUGAGUACAGUAGAGGGUAGUGGAAUUCCUAGUGUAGCGGUGAAAUGCGUAGAUAUUAGGAGGAACACCAGUGGCGAAGGCGACUACCUGGACCGAUACUGACGCUGAAGCGCGAAAGCAUGGGGAGCAAACAGGAUUAGAUA
rnacentral:rRNA from 1 species